rnacentral:rRNA from 1 species
AUGUAAUUUGAAGAAGCGUUUUCUUGGGCUCGCGGCCGGUAGAAGUUCUUUGGAACAGGACAUCAUAGAGGGUGACAAUCCCGUCUGCGACCGGUCGUGCGUUCAUCUACGAUACGCUUUCAAAGAGUCGAGUUGUUUGGGAUUGCAGCUCCAAAUGGGUGGUAAACAUCACCUAAGGCUAAAUAUUGGCGAGAGACCGAUAGCGAACAAGUACCGUGAGGGAAAGAUGAAAAGAACUUUGAAAAGAGAGUUAAACAGUACGUGAAAUUGUUGAAAGGGAAACGAUUGAAGUCAGUCGUGCUGGCGCGAAAUCAACCCUCUCGUCGAGAGGUCACAUGGCGUGGCGAGCCUCAAAACCGUCACGAAGCGUGAACUCUUGGCGAAAAGGAGCACUUUCGUGUCCGCUGGUUAACAUCAAUUUCGAACGUCAUAAAAAGGCUGGAGGGAUGUGGCUCCUUCGGGAGUGUUAUAACCUUUAGCGGAAUGUGGUGGUCGGGAUUGAGGAUUGCAACGAAUACCUUUAGGGCUGUUCCACCUGGCUUCUCUUUGGUAUCCUGGUGACGACAGCUUGCUGACGUCGUUAGGAUUCGCCUUUGAACAGGCUAGAGUGUGAGCAAAUUCGUUAAGGAUGUUGACGUAAUGGCUUUAAACGAC